rnacentral:rRNA from 1 species
UGUACCACUCGUCAAUUAGGUCGCCAACCCUCCCUAGUUUUUCCUUCCUUGUUUAGCAAAUCUUAUAAACCAUUUGAUUUAAUUCACUGUGACUUGUGGACAUUUCGGAUUGUAAGCUUUUCUGGUUUCCAAUACUACCUUAUUAUUCUCGAUGACUACACUCAUUUUUCUUGGCCAUUUCUUUUACGCCCAAAAACUGACAUAUCCACCACCCUACUACGUUUCUUAUAUUUUUGUUCACAUGCAAUAAAAUGUUACUAUAUGGAGCAUGCAAUGUGA